UACGUAGGGGGCUAGCGUUGUCCGGAAUCAUUGGGCGUAAAGCGCGUGUAGGCGGUCCGGUAAGUCCGCUGUGAAAGUCGGGGGCUCAACCCUCGGAUGCCGGUGGAGUACUGUCGGGCUUGAGUACGGAAGAGGCGAGUGGAAUUCCUGGUGUAGCGGUGAAAUGCGCAGAUAUCAAGGAGGAACACCAAUUGCGAAGGCAGCUCCGCUGGGACGUUACUGACGCUGAGACGCGAAAGCGUGGGGAGCAAACAGG
rnacentral:rRNA from 1 species